rnacentral:rRNA from 1 species
GACAGAGGGUGCAAACGUUGCUCGGAUUUAUUGGGCGUAAAGCGCGUGUAGGCGGCACGUCAAGUCGACUGUGAAAGCCCUUGGCUCAACCAAGGAAGUGCAGUUGAUACUGGCGAGCUAGAGUCCCGAAGAGGAUGGCGGAAUGCUCAGUGUAGAGGUGAAAUUCGUAGAUAUUGGGCAGAACACCGGUGGCGAAGGCGGCCAUCUGGGAGGGUACUGACGCUGAGACGCGAAGGCGUGGGGAUCAAACAGG